rnacentral:rRNA from 1 species
UACGUAGGGGGCUAGCGUUGUCCGGAAUCAUUGGGCGUAAAGCGCGUGUAGGCGGUCCGGUAAGUCCGCUGUGAAAGUCGGGGGCUCAACCCUCGGAUGCCGGUGGAUACUGUCGGGCUUGAGUACGGAAGAGGCGAGUGGAAUUCCUGGUGUAGCGGUGAAAUGCGUAGAUAUUGGGAGGAACACCAGUGGCGAAGGCGGCUACCUGGACCGGUUCUGACGCUGAGGCGCGAAAGCGUGGGUAGCAAACAGG